rnacentral:rRNA from 1 species
GAUGAACGCUGGCGGCGUGCCUAAUACAUGCAAGUCGAGCGAACAGACGAGGAGCUUGCUCCUCUGACGUUAGCGGCGGACGGGUGAGUAACACGUGGAUAACCUACCUAUAAGACUGGGAUAACUUCGGGAAACCGGAGCUAAUACCGGAUAAUAUAUUGAACCGCAUGGUUCAAUAGUGAAAGACGGUUUUGCUGUCACUUAUAGAUGGAUCCGCGCCGCAUUAGCUAGUUGGUAAGGUAACGGCUUACCAAGGCGACGAUGCGUAGCCGACCUGAGAGGGGGAGCGGCAACAGUGGACAGGAGACCGGGUCCAGACUCCGACGGGAGGCAGCGGGGGGAAUCCUCCCGAAAAGGGCGAAACGUAGAGGGAGCAGCGACGGGGGAGUGAAAAGGGGCUUGGCAUCGAAAACCGUUGUUAUGGGGAAAGAACAAGUGUGAAGGUAUAAAUGCAGUUCUUGACGGUACAAAAAGAAAAAGCAGCGGCAAACUACGU